GGAAUUUGACAAGUAUGUGGCGAAAAAUUAAGGCACAGUUCACGGGGACGAAGAUCGAAGAGUCGAGCGACGAAUGCAGUUCUUAGGAACACGAUGCCGCUGGAUGAUGAUUAUGAAUGUUCCCGGAAUGUCUUUGUUUACCGGUGGAAAAACGAGCGUGCGUUAUUCUUCGACCGCUAAACCUCCAGAGAAAUGAGUACGAGAAAGUUUCUCGAGCUCGGGGAACUCGUUUCGAAGGUUCCUUAAAUUGGAAGCGAAGAUAAGAAGAAGAAGACGGAUCGAUAUAAUUUUGGACAGUCGAAAGGUUGCGGCCGACGCUCCGUUCGUAAAUCUUCGAGAUACGGAUCUCAGCUGUUUCAACCGAUGUUAAUACCGCGGAACCAUUUACCUGCUCCUUUAAGAGAGAACUGUAACAACUUCCGUGCACUUUUCUGGUCGAUUUGAGAAAUAUUUGAGAUAAAAGU